rfam:Hordeum vulgare subsp. vulgare, WGS project CAJW01000000 data, contig: morex_contig_1627900
UAUAUACUCCGUCCAUCCCAAAAUUCUCGCCUUAGGGUUUUCUAGAAAUGGAUGUAUCUAUACUAAAACGUGACUAGAUACAUUCAUAUCUAGAUAAAUCUAAGACAAGAAUUUUGGUGCGGAGGGAGUAUUUA